rnacentral:rRNA from 1 species
UACGUAGGGAGCAAGCGUUGUUCGGAUUUACUGGGCGUAAAGGGCGCGUAGGCGGCAGAUUAAGUCAGCUGUGAAAUCUCCGAGCUUAACUCGGAACUGUCAGCUGAUACUGUUUUGCUAGAGUGCGGAAGGGGCAAUCGGAAUUCUUGGUGUAGCGGUGAAACGCGUAGAUAUCAAGAGGAACACCUGAGGUGAAGACGGGUUGCUGGGCCGACACUGACGCUGAGUGCGCGAAAGCCAGGGGAGCAAACGGG